rnacentral:lncRNA from 1 species
GAUGUCAGCCUAGUCCUGCUGUGUCAAAAGGGAUGGGGCUCAUGUUCCAUCUGGACUGCUGGAAAAAUCUGUCACCUAUCUGCCAGAUCCCUUGGAGAGGGAAAUGCACUUGCUGGAUGAAGAAAAAAUGAUCUGGAAAAACUACAGAAGACAAAGAGGUUGGGGAGGAGACAGAUAUCCAAGCUUCCCUUACUUGUAAGUAUGGAUCUGAAGAAAGGCAGAUAAGGUGUGCUGACAGAUGGGACAGCCCAAUGGCAAAUUGCCCAUCAGAACUGGGACAGAUGUUUGGUGUUGUUGGAAGAAAAACUGCAAAACCUGGAACAACGGGUUACUGCUGGAUUCUGCUAUUCUUUUUUUCCAGACUUUCUGCUUUCUGUGGUGAUCAGCUACAGGAGUGGAAAAGAACCGGGAAAGAUGAAAGGAGUUACAGACUCUUAAAGAAGACAUAGGAAAUUUCAAGGGAUGCAGCUUUACUUAUGGUCUGGGCUGUGAGAACACCAAUACCAUCUACCUUUCACAAGUGGGGAUGUGGAGGUGCAGAAGUAUCAAGAAA